rnacentral:lncRNA from 1 species
CUGACACUGAAAAACAACAAACAAGUCAUAUCUUAAGGAAGAAGGAAGGUUGGAAGGAAAUGUUUCCUUCCAACAUAAUAUUCCCUAUAGGGAAUAGCAGGUGUUCUUGAAUGCAAGGUUCUGAUAACUUUGGAGAUUGUGACAUUAGAAGAAAAACUUUCAGGAGUCUCAUGGAGAGCUUGAAUGUUCAUGAAUAUCAAGCAGAACAUGCAUGGCCUGAACUAAGAGAAGACUGAAGUAAUCAUUUUUGACUUUUUUGCUUACAACAUUGCCGAUCAACCAGCAUAGCACAUGUUUACCUAUGUAGCCAACCUGCACAUCCUGCACAUGUAUUAAAGUAAAAUAAAAUAAAAUAACAAAAAACUUAAAGUAAAAUAAAAUAAAAUUUAAAAACCCACAAAAAAUGUUGCUAAUCCUUUGUUUUGAUUUUCAGAAUUAAGAAAACUAAUGUGAGCUAUUUACAGCUUGUAGCAAUUGAAGAAAGUACACUACUG